rnacentral:rRNA from 1 species
GACCCUAUGCAACUUCUACUGUAGUUAGUUAUCACAUUCUCAUAAACUUUGUGUAGCGUAUAAGGUUAAUGUUUGUUUUAAAAACAAAAAGUCGAUAGACACAGUUGAAACACCUUUCUUGGUUUUAUGUUAAUGUUCACCUAGUUUUUCAUGGUUAGGGAUAAAUGACUAAUUGGCAGUUUGUCUGGGGCGGACGUCUUUAAUAGAGUAUCAGAGACAUCCACAAGGUAUGUCUUAAAUUGGAUGGAGACCAAGCAAGCCGUGAACGGUAUAAUAAGGUAUAAUGACUUAAGCAUGCUUAACUGAGAGACCUAUAAGUCAAACAGAUACGUAAGUAGGGCAUAAUGAUCCGGCGGUAUAUAAUGGAAUAGCCGUCGCACAAUAGAUAAAAGUUACGCUAGGGAUAA